AUAUUUUUCCUGCCACCGAAUACAUUAGCAUGGGAUAAUGGAAUAGGACCCUGACCUCCUAUUUUCAGUUGGUUUUGUUUACAGCGAGGUUAUAUCAGGGUAAUGAUUAAUAGGGAUAGUUGGGGGCAUUAAUAUUUAAUUGUCAGAGGUGAAAUUCUUGGAUUUAUGAAAGAUUAACUUCUGCGAAAGCGUUUGCCAAGGAUGUUUUCAUUAAUCAAGAACGAAAGUUAGGGGAUCGAAGACGAUCAGAUACCGUCGUAGUCUUAACCAUAAACGAUGCCGACCAGCGAUUACGAGACGUUGAAUACAAAACACCGCUGUUAAUCCUUUCGGGGGCUAAUAGUUGGUG
rnacentral:rRNA from 1 species